CACCCCUUGGUAUAUUAAAUCGUACAAAGGGUUUCAUUACAAACAUUAGCACAUUCAUAUCACGUAGUACUUGGAUGUCCUAAGAUCCACCUGUGCCCUGGGCAGCUGUGAUAGAGUGAUAAAGUGAGUGGGACCUCAGCCCAGCGUGUGUCUGUGUGUUCCUGCUCACAAGGAGAGCGCUGGGAGAGAGCACAGCGUACUCUGCCUGGGAGGACUCCUGUGGACUAGGAGUGGUGUAGAAGGAGUGGUUGCUCUUCUCUUGUACUGUAGCCAUGCAGUUUUUUAUCUGGAUACUGGGCUGCUUAAUGCUGGAUUCUUUCCUGCUUGGACUAUGCGUGGAGGGUCGAUGGAGAGCAUCUCACAUGGAUCCCUCCCUCCAAGAAGGCAACUCUCCUAUCUCCGAGAGCUCAGCCACCCUACAACAAGGGAAUGGGCUUGUGGUAGUUCAUGAUGCGAAUCCCUCUAUCCUUACCUUUCACCACACUGGUAUAGGCGGCCAUGACAGCAAGUACUCCUUUACAGUCACAGCCUUGGAUGAGAACAUCACCACAUAGAAUCAAAGUCAGUGAUUUCACACAAGCAAAGUUAUGUUUACUGAACAUCUGAUUUUAUGGAGACAGGAAGCAGAAGAAACUGACAUUUGAGUGGGGAUCUUAGAAUAUGGAACAGUCAUCUAUUUCUUCCUCAUGAGAAGUACUGUAUGUCUUCAGGGGUUUAUUCAGCUAGGGUUUUCUUGUAAGACACUGAUAUCUUUGUCUCUAUCGGAAAAGGAAAACAUCAGUGGUUUGUAACUGCCUCUAAUUUUAAUUAAAAAAUCUCCCACUGCAGCUCAUGUAAUGCCAAAAAAAACAACUCGUUUUAAUCUUUACAUUUUUUUAUUGCUACAAGUACAGGUUAUGGAAAUACUGUACAAAUGCUGUGGUUGAAUCUACCCAUAGGACAUGGACAUAGACUGAUUCAUGCACUCUACAAAAUGACAGGAGAGGAAAUAAGCAUUUCAAAAAGAUGUGGCAUUAAUAUGGUACUGCAGACCAAAAUGUACACUUUGCCACUCUGUUGCAUCAUCCUCUAGUUCUAUUGCCAAACCGUGACCUUUUCAGGUUGUUCCAGUAUUAUUAUAACUUCCUGUAAAUAUCUGUCCCUACGUUUACCACAUUGUCGUUCCUGCAGGUAUGUGCAGGCAGAAAAGGUCCUCUUGGGUUUAAAGGAGACAAGGUAAGGGAAUAGAUCUCUGGUGAAAUAAUUGUUUGGAAAAAAGUUUGAGUAAUGAUGAAUAAGGAUGAUGAAUGAUGAGUAAAACCCAAAUGACUUAUGGAUUUUAUGGUAUGUAUGUGAACGUGUUUUUAAAGUCUGCGUUGUGACUUGCAGUUGGUUGAGCAUCGUCACUCAUUGUCAUAGACUGCUCUGUUAUCUGUGAUUCUCUGGGGUUCUCAGGGUGUCAGAGGGCAGGAGGUCAGGAGAGGUGAUACAGGCUUCCCAGGUCCUCCAGGACUCCCCACCCUCUACCUUUGGAGGAACUCCCAGGAGGACAGGACUUCCUUCAGGGUAAGAUUCUUUCUGUCUUUCCAGUGUCCACUGUCCACCCAUCUCACAGCAUCCUGCCUGGGAGUGUUAUGAAACUUAAUGUAACAUGCAGUUUUUGCGCAUGUGCUGUCAAAGAAUAGCUUGAUCUCCCAGUUCACCAGGACAUGUUGUUGGAUGUGCGUCACAGCAGAGCAGCAGCCCUGGCCCUGACACCGACCCAGCCAUGGCAGUGUUCUCACCAGACUCCCCAAUCCGGCUAUUUCGGACUGGAAAUGUCAGCCUGCCUUAAUACCACAGUCCUCAACUCCACCCAGGUUGCUGUAAUUGAAGGCAGUUGUAUAUAUCUUAUCUUAUGAUGAUUAAAGUUGAUUGCUGCAAUUGUGUAAGUGCGUCGACGUGGCAGAUAAGUUACUGGAAGUAUAUUUUAGGGAUCAACAGGAAAAAUAAUUUGUGACACAAAAAAAUUAAGUAUCUUAUAUGGAUUUCAUACACGCCUGUAUCUAAUUUUGAAACGGAUCCGUUGUAUUCACACGGUACUUUCUCGAGUCGUGUUUAUUUCCCACAUCUUAAUGCUGGAAUGUUUCCCCAACCUCAUCGUGAAAGAAAUACAUUGCAAUAUGAUUAGAUAGGCAAAUGUGAAUGAGACUAAAGCAUGUCCCAGCUCUGUCAGCAACACUGAUGUAGCUAGCUACAGUAAUGAGGCUUGAUGUGUCAGCGGAUGGUGCAUUGUAACCGCCAGUAUGACGCCACUGUUUAUCCCCUGUGCUUUGGUUUCCCCCUCUCUCUCUCCAGUGACUACAGGCCCAGAGCUGUGUGAAUUUUCCACAGCUUUGCAGGCAGCUGGGAGCACACUGGGGCCGGUGAGAGAUUUCGAUUUUACUUUGAGCAAACAGUUUAUUUGUUUAUUUGGAUACCCAUUAGCUUUUGCAGAAGCAGCAGCUACUCUUCCUGGGGUCCACAAAAAAUCACAAAACUUGACAAGUAACUAAGCACUGAUACACACAUUUAAAAUACAACAAUAUACAAACAAUAAAAAUACAUAAAAAUUGUGUGUCAGUAUGUCUGUGUGUGUGUCCUCACAGUCCCCUCUGUUCCAUGAGAUGUUGUUUAUUCAGUUUUUUUUAAUGUAAUUUUGCUGUUUGCUUGAGUUAUUGGAGAUGGAAGGGAGUUCCAUGCGAUCAUGCCUCUGAAUCAGUGGAGGCUGCUGAGGGGAGGAUGGCUCAUAAUAAUGGCUGGAACGAAGCCAAUGGAAUGGCAUGUACUUGGUACCAUUCCACUUAUUCUGCUCCGGCCAUUACCACAAGCCUGUCCGCCCCAAUUAAGUUGCCACCAAACUCCUGGCUCUGUAAAAUACUGUGUGUUGCUGUGAAUUUGUUUUGGACUUGGGGACUGUGAAGAGACCCCUGGUGGCAUGUCUUGUGGGGUAUGUAUGGAUGUCUGAGCUGAAUGUUAUUUAAUUAUGCAGAUAAUCCUGAAUUUUAUCACAGUAAUAGAUCUCAUAAAAACUAGAAGAGAAGCAACUAGUCUCUUGUCAACUGUCAACCAGAAAAGACUGGCAUCUAUGUUGUUGAUGUUAGUUCUGAAUGUGCAGUGAGGGCAAGGCGUGCUGCUCUAUUUUGAGCCAGCUCCCUGAACAACUAGUUGAUUUUUGUGUAAAUUCUUUAUAACAGACAUACAGAGGUAGCACUCCCAGUGGCCGGGGACUUUAAUGCAGGAAAAUGUAAAUCCAUUUUACCUUAUUUAUAGCAGCAUGUUACAUGUGCAACCAGAGGGAAAAACCUCUGGAACAUCUUUACUCCACGCAGAGCCGCGUACAAAGCUCUCCCUCGCCCUCCAUUUGGCAAAUCUGACCAUAGCUCUAUCCUCCUGAUUCCUGCUUACAAGCUAAAACUCAAGCAGGAAGUACCAGUGACUCGCUCAAUACGAAGUGGUCAGAUGACACAGAUGCUAAGCUACAGGACUGUU
rnacentral:lncRNA from 8 species